ensembl:snRNA U6 U6 spliceosomal RNA
GUGCUUACUUUGGCAGCAUAUACAUUAACAUGGGAAUGAUACAGAGAAGAUUAACUUGGCCCCUGUGCAAAUUUGUGAAGCAUUACAUAUAAGAGGAAGAAAGAAAG